rnacentral:rRNA from 1 species
UACAGAGGUCCCAAGCGUUGUUCGGAUUCACUGGGCGUAAAGGGUGCGUAGGCGGUCGGGUAAGUCUAAUAUGAAAUCUCCGGGCCUAACCCGGAAACUGCAUCGGAUACUAUCCGGCUAGAGGAUUGGAUGGGAGACUGGAAUACUUGGUGUAGCAGUGAAAUGCGUAGAUAUCAAGUGGAACACCAGUGGCGAAGGCGAGUCUCUGGACAAUUCCUGACGCUGAGGCACGAAAGCCAGGGGAGCAAACGGG